AAUAGAUAUAUUUAUCUUUUUGUCAGAAAGAUAAUUUUAGUUAACUAAAAUCUAUUU
rnacentral:tRNA from 1 species